CACUGGUUGUGAGCCAGAUCAAAACCCUGUCCUGGGGAGACAAUUGGAUUUUCUAUGCAGGUACAGUCACAUUUAUGUCUUUUAAUAAUAGAGUUCAUCCAUCAUACAAGAUUGAUGAUCCCUGCAGAAGUUAAAAGUCUAGGAAUAAGAAAUUUGUGAAUGUGUUUUGCCACUUCAAUUGCCUCUACUGAUCAAGAAAGCAAAG
rnacentral:lncRNA from 10 species